rnacentral:rRNA from 1 species
AACGAACGCUGGCGGCAGGCUUAACACAUGCAAGUCGAGCGAGACCUUCGGGUCUAGCGGCGGACGGGUGAGUAACGCGUGGGAACGUGCCCUUCUCUACGGAAUAGCCCCGGGAAACUGGGAGUAAUACCGUAUACGCCCUUUGGGGGAAAGAUUUAUCGGAGAAGGAUCGGCCCGCGUUGGAUUAGGUAGUUGGUGGGGUAAUGGCCCACCAAGCCGACGAUCCAUAGCUGGUUUGAGAGGAUGAUCUGCCACACUGGGACUGAGACACGGCCCAGACUCCUACGGGAGGCAGCAGUGGGGAAUCUUAGACAAUGGGGGCAACCCUGAUCUAGCCAUGCCGCGUGAGUGAUGAAGGCCUUAGGGUUGUAAAGCUCUUUCAGCUGGGAAGAUAAUGACGGUACCAGCAGAAGAAGCCCCGGCUAACUCCGUG